rnacentral:rRNA from 1 species
ACUAGCAGUAAGAGUUUGAUCAGUGGCUCAGGACGAACGCUGGCGGCACGCCUAACACAUGCAAGUCGAACGGCCCCUUCGGGGGCAGUGGCGGACGGGUGAGUAACGCGUGGGAACCUGCCCCUUGGUUCGGGACAACCCGGGGAAACCCGGGCUAAUACCGGAUGCGCUCCUGGCUUUGGCUGGGAGGAAAGAUUGAUCGCCGAGGGAUGGGCCCGCGUCGGAUUAGGUUGUUGGUGAGGUAACGGCUCACCAAGCCUACGAUCCGUAGCUGGUCUGAGAGGAUGAUCAGCCACACUGGGACUGAGACACGGCCCAGACUCCUACGGGAGGCAGCAGUGGGGAAUCUUGGACAAUGGACGCAAGUCUGAUCCAGCGAUGCCGCGUGAGCGAUGAAGGCCUUAGGGUUGUAAAGCUCUUUCGCCCGCGACGAUGAUGACGGUAGCGGGAGAAGAAGCCCCGGCUAACUCCGUGCCAGCCGCCGCGGUAAUUC